AAUCAACGCUGGCGGCGUGCCUAACACAUGCAAGUCGAACGAGAAAGGCGACUUCGGUUGCUGAGUAGAGUGGCGAACGGGUGAGUAGCGCGUGGGUGAUCUGCCCUGAAGUGGGGGAUAACCUCGCGAAAGCGGGGCUAAUACCGCAUGAGCCGGUUCAUUCGGUUGAACCGGGAAAAGCUUCGGUUGCUUCAGGAGGAGCCCGCGUCCGAUUAGCUAGUUGGUGAGGUAAGAGCUUACCAAGGCGACGAUCGGUAACCGGUCUGAGAGGACGGACGGUCACACUGGGACUGAGACACGGCCCAGACUCCUACGGGAGGCAGCAGUGGGGAAUUUUGGGCAAUGGGGGAAACCCUGACCCAGCAACGCCGCGUGGAGGAUGAAGUUUUUCGGAACGUAAACUCCUGUCCAGAGGGACGAAGCAAGUGACGGUACCUCUGGAGGAAGCCCCGGCUAACUCCGUG
rnacentral:rRNA from 1 species